rnacentral:rRNA from 1 species
UACAGAGGGUGCGAGCGUUAAUCGGAAUUACUGGGCGUAAAGCGCACGUAGGUGGCGACGUAAGUCGGGUGUGAAAGCCCCGGGCUCAACCUGGGAAUUGCAUUCGAGACUGCAUUGCUGGAGUACGGAAGAGGAGGGCGGAAUUCCCGGUGUAGCGGUGAAAUGCGUAGAUAUCUGGAGGAACACCGGUGGCGAAGGUGGCAUCCUGGACCGACACUGACGCUGAGGAGCGAAAGCCAGGGGAGCAAACGGG